rnacentral:rRNA from 1 species
UACGUAGGGUGCAAGCGUUGUCCGGAUUCAUUGGGCGUAAAGAGCUCGUAGGCGGCUUUGUAAGUCGGGUGUGAAAACCCCAGGCUCAACCUGGGGACGCCACUCGAUACUGCAAUAGCUAGAGUUUGGUAGGGGAUCACGGAAUUCCUGGUGUAGCGGUGAAAUGCGCAGAUAUCAGGAGGAACACCGGUGGCGAAGGCGGUGAUCUGGGCCAAUACUGACGCUGAGGAGCGAAAGCGUGGGGAGCAAACAGG